GCCAUGACGGGAGGAGCUGCCGUGACGGCUGUAGGUGCAAAGGACAUUCAGUGCCCACCCAGAGAAAAUAAGUGGUGCUCCAGCUGUCCAAGUAAAAGGUUGGGUAUUAAUAUCACGUCCAGCCUUUCCACAGUGUUCAGGGAAAUCAGUCAAGAUCAUGGUGUGGCUUUAUGGCAGGGAAAGGGAGAG